UCCGAUCUCUAGGCGUCGAUCAGAGAUCCCUCUUGCUGAAAUCUGGAAAUGAUAUCUCUUAUGAUCAAAUAUACAAGGAGCUGCAGUCGUACGACAAGGCAGAAGCAUCGCCACACUCAGAUGGGUUCUUCGGUCGUCCCCUCUGGAGACCUGGCUCGGGAACAGCGGACGACGUGUUUCAAAAAACUGGCGUGGUAAUC